AAAAUCCUUUUAUAUUUUUUUUUGAAAGGGAAAAAUUUGAACAAGGUUUCCGUAGGUGAACCUGCGGAAGGAUCAUUACCAGAGCGUGRAGACUCGGCCCCUCCACAGCGCAAGCUGGUGCGAGGGACACAUGCCGGGGUCGACCCUCCCCACCCGUGUCGACUCGUCUCCUGUUGCUUUGGCAGGCCGACUGCCUAGCGGUCCUCUGGCUCUCGGGCUGGAGUGCGCCUGCCAGAGACUAUUCAACUCGUGUUCUGGAUGAAGUCUGAGCAAUCAAGCAAUAAAAAUGAAUAAGUUAAAACUUUCAACAACGGAUCUCUUGGCUCUGGCAUCGAUGAAGAACGCAGCGAAAUGCGAUAAGUAAUGUGAAUUGCAGAAUUUAGUGAAUCAUCGAAUCUUUGAACGCACAUUGCGCCCCUGGGUACUCCUAGGGGCAUGCCUGUUCGAGCGUCAUAACAACCCGUCGAGCCGACUAGGCUUGGUCUUGGGGCUCGCCCGCAUUUGGCGCGGCGGCUCUUAAACGCAGUGGCGGUGCCGGUGGUGCUUUCCGCGUAGUCACAUUUCUCGCGCGAGGGCAGAAUCCGGACCCAGCCAGCAACCACAAAGUCCGCAGCGCUCUGCGCGGCGACUUUUGUACUUCUUCUGGUUGACCUCGAAUCAGGUAGGGAUACCCGCUGAACUUAAGCAUUCAAAAAACCGGAAGAAAAAAAAA
rnacentral:rRNA from 1 species